GACGAACGCUGGCGGCGUGCCUAAUACAUGCAAGUAGAACGCUGAAGAGAGGAGCUUGCUCUUCUUGGAUGAGUUGCGAACGGGUGAGUAACGCGUAGGUAACCUGCCUGGUAGCGGGGGAUAACUAUUGGAAACGAUAGCUAAUACCGCAUAAAAUUGAUUAUUGCAUGAUAAUUAAUUGAAAGAUGCAAUUGCAUCACUACCAGAUGGACCUGCGUUGUAUUAGCUAGUUGGUGAGGUAACGGCUCACCAAGGCGACGAUACAUAGCCGACCUGAGAGGGUGAUCGGCCACACUGGGACUGAGACACGGCCCAGACUCCUACGGGAGGCAGCAGUAGGGAAUCUUCGGCAAUGGGGGGAACCCUGACCGAGCAACGCCGCGUGAGUGAAGAAGGUUUUCGGAUCGUAAAGCUCUGUUGUAAGAGAAGAACGGGUGUGAGAGUGGAAAGUUCACACUGUGACGGUAUCUUACCAGAAAGGGACGGCUAACUACGUGCCAGCAGCCGCGGUAAUACGUAGGUCCCGAGCGUUGUCCGGAUUUAUUGGGCGUAAAGCGAGCGCAGGCGGUUAGAUAAGUCUGAAGUUAAAGGCUGUGGCUUAACCAUAGUAUGCUUUGGAAACUGUUUAACUUGAGUGCAGAAGGGGAGAGUGGAAUUCCAUGUGUAGCGGUGAAAUGCGUAGAUAUAUGGAGGAACACCGGUGGCGAAAGCGGCUCUCUGGUCUGUAACUGACGCUGAGGCUCGAAAGCGUGGGGAGCAAACAGGAUUAGAUACCCUGGUAGUCCACGCCGUAAACGAUGAGUGCUAGGUGUUAGGCCCUUUCCGGGGCUUAGUGCCGCAGCUAACGCAUUAAGCACUCCGCCUGGGGAGUACGACCGCAAGGUUGAAACUCAAAGGAAUUGACGGGGGCCCGCACAAGCGGUGGAGCAUGUGGUUUAAUUCGAAGCAACGCGAAGAACCUUACCAGGUCUUGACAUCCCUCUGACCGCUCUAGAGAUAGAGUUUUCCUUCGGGACAGAGGUGACAGGUGGUGCAUGGUUGUCGUCAGCUCGUGUCGUGAGAUGUUGGGUUAAGUCCCGCAACGAGCGCGACCCCUAUUGUUAGUUGCCAUCAUUCAGUUGGGCACUCUAGCGAGACUGCCGGUAAUAAACCGGAGGAAGGUGGGGAUGACGUCAAAUCAUCAUGCCCCUUAUGACCUGGGCUACACACGUGCUACAAUGGCUGGUACAACGAGUCGCAAGCCGGUGACGGCAAGCUAAUCUCUGAAAGCCAGUCUCAGUUCGGAUUGUAGGCUGCAACUCGCCUACAUGAAGUCGGAAUCGCUAGUAAUCGCGGAUCAGCACGCCGCGGUGAAUACGUUCCCGGGCCUUGUACACACCGCCCGUCACACCACGAGAGUUUGUAACACCCGAAGUCGGUGAGGUAACCGUAAGGAGCCAGCCGCCUAAGGUGGGAUAGAUGAUUGGGGUG
rnacentral:rRNA from 1 species